rnacentral:rRNA from 1 species
UACGUAGGGUGCAAGCGUUAAUCGGAAUACUGGGCGUAAAGCGUGCGCAGGCGGUUUUGUAAGUCUGUCGUGAAAUCCCCCGGGCUCAACCUGGGAAUUGCGAUGGAGACUGCAAGGCUAGAAUCUGGCAGAGGGGGGUAGAAUUCCACCGUGUGAGCAGUGAAAUGCGUAGAGAUGUGGGAGGAACACCGAUGGCGAAGGCAGCCCCCCUGGGUCAAGAUUG